ensembl:lncRNA
CCUUCCGUGUAACAUCUUUCUCACUGCCCUGUGUUUAAUGAACAGUAUCAAGGUGCGCCAUUUGAACAGGAAUUUCACAGUGCGAAAUAUACCCAGAAAUAUCACACAAUAUUCUGCAUUUUACAUGUUUUAUCUGGACAAAGUAAAAAAGCUUUAAUCUCAAUGAUAUCAUUAAUAAUAAACAAAGUCACAUAUAAAAACAUACAAAAUAGGGUAAGGUACAUAUGGGGUAAGGUACAUAUGGGGUAAGGUACAUAUGGGGUAAGGUACAUAUGGGGUGAGGUACAUAUGGGGUAAGGUACAUAUGGGGUGAGGUACAUAUGGGGUGAGGUACAUAUGGAGUACGGUACAUAUGGGGUAAGUUACAUAUGGGGUGAGGUACAUAUGGAGUACGGUACAUAUGGGGUAAGUUACAUAUGGGGUAAGGUACAUAUGGGGUAAGGUACAUAUGGGGUAAGGUACAUAGGCCUCAAGCAGACAUGUAUUGUAUUGCUUUUACAGUGACUUCUGUGAACUGUCUAGGAAAGAUGGGAAACCAUAAACUCAAAGUGACAAAUUAAAAUGACAUAUACUGAAUAUUGAAGGACAUACAGGACUGCCUUCGAGCUCCUGUCAAAAUGGACACAAAACCUACUAUUACAAUUUAGCUUAAAACAAAUUAAAUAAAAAAGAUCAUCAUUAAACCAAAAGCGAUGCUGAUGAACAAUAAAUAGCCUACAAGUGAGGUUAAUGCAUUAAUAGAUUAUAGUUUUAUUACAAUAUUAUAUUGUCUUUUUUUUGUACCUAUUAUCAAAUCACUUGACAAUCACUUCAUAUACAGACAGGAGUCCUCUCUCAUCUUGGCCUCUUACACUACGAAAUAACAUGUCUUCAUUUUGUUAGAAUUGGCAAAUAGUCAUAACUUUACACACAAACAUCUCAAGAGGUACAUAUGGGGUACGGUACAUAUGGGGUACGGUACAUAGUAGAGCUGAGCAAAAAUCACCAACAACAAAAAAGAUCAAAGAGCCCUGACUAGUUCCAUGCAGGCUGGCAUAGAGAUAGGUCAAUCAUAUCUGUAUCUACAGUGCCAACUGCCAAGUUUGCACUUAAGCAAGAAGGAACAGAUACUGUAGAAGGGUUGGAAGGAAUUGUGGGAGGUGUAGUCUUGCUGUGGACGGCAUUCACCUCAAGUUACCUCAAUACAGCAACAGAUUUCUCAGUCAAUAUGUAACGCCAUCACCAGCAACAUGAUAGCAGUAAAAUGUGAACUGAAACGAUCACUAUAUAAAUAUAAGACAAUUGCUGCCCCUUGCAGAACACAAAAUGUUUUGCAAUGUUUCUCCAAAAUGAUCACGAUCAACCAGCAGGUGAAGAUGUUUACGUUACCUUGAAACUGAUACCAAUUCUCUCUGAUUAAUAAUUGACUCUAGUCCAUCGUUUUUCAUGUUUACUGUUGCGUUCCAUUAAACUGACUUCAUGGAGGCGGGCCUGGGCAAGACAUAGACAUAGAUCUGCAUUUUCCAGCAGCAUAAAGAGGAAGGACAAAACAAAAGAAACUGCUGCGGUAGCACUGUUGAAGCAACAGGCUGGCUGUUGGUAACAAGGUUGGUUUAAUGUUACAAUAAGUUCCAGAUAUUACACAAAGUCAAAUCAAAGGAUGACUUCAAAAUGGCACCCUAUUCCUUCUAGUCAAAAGUAAUGUACUAUUUAGCAUAACAUUUCUUCUCAUACACAUUGUAGCAGAAUGAAAGCCCAGGGAGGACAGUGGCAGGCACAGCAGUAUCCAUUGAAACCUGAUGAUCAACAAAUCUUUGGUCAAAUGAAACAUGUUUUAUUGCACUGUACAGUCUUGCGAAACCUCAGAGGCGAAAUUAGUUUCACUUCAUCUUUUUGAAAAAGUGCUGUGUACACUCGUGAACAAUGUUCCCUCUAAACUGCGCAUGUGCAGCUCCCCGGGACUGAUAAGCAGAAGAAAUAUCAGCCCUGUGCGAGUCUGAACUUUACUCAACUUUCUAGAGUUUUCCCAGUUAGUUAACACUAUCAGUGUUUCCCUUUACUGUGGGAAUUGUGAUCGAAUGAACGCAAUAUCAGCCACUUUCAAUACAACAUACCAAAACAAAACAAACAGUGCAAUACUUACUAUGCAAAACUAAAUAUAUAAAAGAUUUUGUUGUAGGCAGAACGCAUCAGAGUAGGAUUCUAUUGCAUUGACAGGCAGACUUGUACUCUACACAGACCAGUGUGCCAUAACCAAUCAGAGCUGCAGUAGGCCUAUAUACAAAUAGACCAUUGUCAUAUAUAGAUCUGUGCCAUUCACUUUGAACUGGACUGCUUUUACAGCAUGAGCGGUUGUGAGUAGAUCAAAGCAAGAACUAUAUGUAGCGACUUGUGCACAUUUGUACAUUUGUUCACUAGUUAGUGAGUUAUUAGCCCAGUUAUUGAUAAUUUGUAGUCAGAAAUGGGGGGUGAUUGCUUCCUACAAGAACACAAAACGUGUGCAUUUCAGCCUUGAAUACACUAAGUAGCCAAAGCCAGAGGGUAGCAUAAUUUGUGUCAUUCUCUGGAAUAAUGGUAUGGGAAUAAUGAUGCAAGUGGUUUCUUGCAUCAAACAACACAACAACAUUUUCAAUCACCUCCUUGUUUGAAGGACAAGUGGAUAAACAGGUUCAUGUCAAGUCCUACAUGUUUUUUUCAAAAGUCUCAUGGAAUGUAGACUUACAUUGAACACCGCACAUUGGCUGCUACUGUUGGCUGAAUGACAGAACAGCUAUUUCCAUGUUAUAAUGUUAUGGGAUGCAUUUUCUCCAUUGUUUAUUAUGGUAGGCCACUCUGGUAGGCCUACAUUAUGAUCAAAUAGCCACAGUACCCUACUUGACCACUGUUAAAACUAACUUAAAGCAGGAACAACCUGUAAACCUGCACCGGAAGUUGCAAAGAAUUUUCACAGUAUUCAAAUUUGCUCUUAGCAGACCUGAGUUUUAACAAUCAUGCUGGUAGAAUCUACAGUUUACCUACACCAUGGCAACUCUGUAUAUAACCAUUUAUGUUAGGCUUUUAAACAUAGGCUGUUAAAGAGUUAUAUCAUUUGUAAUCAACCACAGUGCUUAAAGGCUGGCAUCCUCAGUAGAUUAUGAAGAAACAAAUGCCUCAAAUCAGAAUGACCUGAGUGCCAAAGUGACUGCCACCGAACACUUAACAGGAAACAGUCCAUCAAAGGACAGUGAAGGUGACAAGCUCCUUAUUGAUCGUCAAGGAAACAGCCCCUUCCAGAGACUGCCAGUUAACUAAUCAUCUCCUGUCGCUGUUUAGACCUGGCAACAGGGAGACAGAGGGAGAGCAUAAGAGAGAAGGCGAGAGAGAGAGAGAAGGAGAAUAUUGUUACAAAAUAAUAGAAAGUCAAAUCAGGAGACACUUCACGAAAUCAUUACAAGGAGCACGAGCAGCAUGUAAACUACAAGAUAACUACAAGGUUAACUAGAAGAUAAUCAAUCAUAAAAAACAAAAAACAUGUCCCCUAUGAAGCUAUGAUGCUAAAUAGCAAGAGAGCUAUUAUAAAUACAGUAGAUGUUGAUACAAUAUGUUUUAGAUAGAUACAGUGGGGCAAAAAAA